UACGGAGGAUGCAAGCGUUAUCCGGAUUCAUUGGGUUUAAAGGGUGCGCAGGCGGAUUGGUAAGUCAGGGGUGAAAUCCCACAGCUCAACUGUGGAACUGCCUUUGAUACUGUCAGUCUAGAGUAUAGUUGAAGUUGGCGGAAUGUGUCAUGUAGCGGUGAAAUGCUUAGAUAUGACACAGAACACCGAUCGCGAAGGCAGCUAGCUAAGCUAUAACUGACGCUCAUGCACGAAAGCGUGGGGAUCAAACAGGAUUAGAAACCCUAGUAGUCC
rnacentral:rRNA from 1 species